ACUCCUACGGGAGGCAGCAGUGGGGAAUAUUGCACAAUGGGGGAAACCCUGAUGCAGCCAUGCCGCGUGUGUGAAGAAGGCCUUCGGGUUGUAAAGCACUUUCAGUAGGGAGGAAGGUAGUGUAGUUAACACCUGCAUUAUUUGACGUUACCUACAGAAGAAGCACCGGCUAACUCCGUGCCAGCAGCCGCGGUAAUACGGAGGGUGCGAGCGUUAAUCGGAAUUACUGGGCGUAAAGCGCAUGCAGGCGGCCUGUUAAGUCAGAUGUGAAAGCCCGGGGCUUAACCUCGGAAUUGCAUUUGAAACUGGCAGGCUAGAGUCUUGUAGAGGGGGGUAGAAUUUCAGGUGUAGCGGUGAAAUGCGUAGAGAUCUGAAGGAAUACCAGUGGCGAAGGCGGCCCCUGGACAAAGACUGACGCUCAGAUGCGAAAGCGUGGGGAGCAAACAGGAUUAGAUACCCUGGUAGGAUAGCGUAGUCGUGGG
rnacentral:rRNA from 1 species